AACGAACGCUGGCGGCAGGCCUCACACAUGCAAGUCAAACGCCCCGCAAGGGGAGUGGCAGACGGGUGCGUAACUCGUGGCAAUCUACCGUGCCCUACGGAAUGGCUCCGGGAAACUGGAAUUAAUACCUCAUACGCCCUACGCGGGAAAGAUUUAUCGGGGGUUGAGGAGCCCGCGUUGGAUUAGCUAGUUUGAGGGGUAAAGGCCUACCAAGGCGACGUUCCAUAGGUGGUCUGAGCGGAUGAUCAGCCACAUUGGGACUGAGACACGUCCGGAACUCCUUAGGGAGGCAGCAGUGGUGAAAAUUGGACAAUGGGGGAAAGCCUGAUCCAGGCAUGCCGCGUGAGUGAUGAAGGCCCAUGGGUUGUAAAGCUCUUUCACCGGUGAAGGUAAUGACGGUAACCGGAGAAGAAGCCCCGGCUAACUUCGUGUCAGCCGCAGCAGUAACAC
rnacentral:rRNA from 1 species